AGGUUGCCAGCACCUUAUCAGGUGGUGUUUGUCCAUCCGCCCCUCGGACAGGCCAGCACUGGAAGACCUGUUGUGCCAUCCUUGGGUGCAGGGCAUUCCCCUGCCCUAGAAGACGGGAGAGAUCCACGUGCUCCCUUUGAUCCCGGGGCCUGGCAGACAGCUGGGCCCUCAGCAGAACGCUGACAGCCUGGUCUGGCCCCCAGGGAAGGAGAAGGGGCCUCUGGAGAAGCUGUGCCGGGUGGGCCUGCUGCUGGAGACAUCGAGGACGAUGUCAGGGAUGACAAGCUCUCAGUUGACCUGGACGCCGGCGAGCUGAAGAGGAUGGCCUUUGAUUCUGGCCCCUUCCUCCAAGCCGUGCUCCACACGCCGUUUGCAGAUGAGUCCACACCCAGGGGGUGCUCCCGGACACGGGCAUUGCUCAGCCUGGCUGGGCACCGAAGGUUCCCCCUUUGCUGAUGGGGAACCUGAGGAAUUCUUCAGCCGGCUGCCAAGCUGCUUCUUGGCAGGAGGGCGGGCGGGUGCUCUGGGCUGGGUGUGAAAUGGGAGCCCGGCUCUGCCCCCAGCCUCUGCCACUGCCCCUUUGCUGGGCGGGGCUGGGGCAGGGGCAGCCAGCCUGCCAAAAACAAACCCCCGUGGGGGGAGCAAAGGCGGGGCUGCAGAACACCAGCUGCUUUGGGCUGCAGGCCAGGAAAGGCUUGGGCUGCCUUGGCUUAGGAGCCUUUCUUUGGGCCAGUGCAGCAGGGCAGGGAGAAGGCCUGGGUUUUCCUCAGCUGGAGGAGGUGGGGUUUCUCUUUGGCCUGCAGGGCUUGGGCCUUCCUCAGAACCCUGACAGAAGGUUAACAUUUUACCUUUUUUUCUUGUUUCCACUUUUGGUUUGUAAUCUCUGUUCAUGAAUUUGUUGUUUGUUUUCCAGGGAAGAGUUGGAGCUGGUGCCCAGUCCGGGUUGGGAAGGGCUGGGACCAUCCCUGGAGAGGAUCUGACGUCCCCUCUGAGAAGGCUGAGGACAUCCUUUGGGACACGCUCUUCUUGCGGCAGCAGAUCUUGGGAGGUAGAUGCUCAUCUUGCCCAUCUUGUCAGCAGCAGUGGGAUAAUGGCUUUGGGGAGAUGGCAGCAGGCACAUGAACAUCCCGCUCUUGCAGCUGCUGAGGAGGUUGAUCUCCUGGGCUUGGCUGGAGGAGGUGGCACCUGUGUUGAGUAAUUGCUGAAAUCCAAUCGAUCUGGGAUGACCCCAAAUGACAGUUUAGUUUUCAGCUUGCUCGAGCUGUAUCUCAGCAGCUUUUGGGUAUCAUUUUUGGCCCCCAGACAGGACACCUCUGCCUGAUCUCCCGCGGAUCCGAGGGAUCUCUGGAUCUUCACGCCAGCACCAGGACUUUGCUGCAGAAGAGCACAGAUCCCCAGCCCAGUCUGGGACACAGAACGUGUGAAAGGGCAGAAAGAUUGUGGUGUGAAUGCAGCGCCCUCAGAGCCCUUGGUGUGAGCCCGGAAAGGAAAAUCAAGCUGAGGGACAAGAUCAGUCUAAUUUGGGGACAUUGUUGGAGGUUGGAGUUGCAGUUCUGGAAGAAAUCCCUGAGGAAAUGGUGCCCCGGGGAGAGGAAGAGGAUGAGAGCGUGGGCAGCCUGCUUCAAACAUCCCCCCAGGAGACUUGGGAUCAGUCCCUGUGCAUCCUGUAAGAAAGAUGGACACUGGAAAUGGGAUUGUCCGCAACUGAAACUUCAGAACCCUCCGAACCCUCUCGUGGCAUCACUGAAGACGACUGAGGGGGCACCAGAGGAUUCUUCCCCAUCAGAACAUCUGGUUCCAGCCAAGCUAAGCACAAUUGUUUGUGGCUGUGGGAACUUGUUCCUCUGUGUUAAAUGCAGGGAAAUGAAACUCAAGGGACAAUUCUAGAACAAUUGUCUGGUGUGCCAGGGAAUUGGGAAACUGGGCCAUUUUUAAUGCUGUGGCUUUGAAAUUGGGAAAACAGUGGUUGGCUCCCCAGUUUUUGUAUUUCCCCAAUUCCCCAAAGCCUCUGCUUGGGAGAGAUCUCUUGGCAAAAUGAAAUGCCACAAUCCAAUUGAAAAAUGGUCCAAUAUAGGUUAUUAUUGCAGAGCCUAAUUCUGUGGAAGUUUCUAGUUUUGCAUGAGAGUCUCCCAAAGCAGAAGUAAUCCAUCUGCCACCAUCACUUGGGGAUGCAGUGGUUCCAACAGGAUGGGCUGGAGAGGUGCCUCCAUGAUCCAAGAGAGCAGAACCCGUGAGAAUUCCAGAGAAACCUGGAGUGGGGUUGGUGAGGCCAAAGCAAUGUCCUUUGCAAAUAGAAAGUUGUAAGGGAUUCUCACCCUUUGUAGAACAAUUGAUGAAAUUUUGCUUGUGAAAAGAAUGUGAAUCUAAAUGGAAUGCUCCAGUUUUGCCAGUCAAGCAGGCAAAUGGAAGGCUAUGCCAGUUAGUCCAAGACCUUAGAGCUGUAAAGAACAGAGUAGAAGAUAUACAAGCAGUCAUAGUGAAUCCUUACACUUUGCUAACUCCCCUAAAUGAGGGUUUAAUAUGUUUCACAGCAUUAGGUUUGAAAACUGCCUUUUUGUGUCUCCCUUUGAGUUGGGAAAGUCAAGAGCUUUUUGCUUUCCAAUGGGAAAAUGCAAAGCCGGGGAGGAAAACCCAUCUGACUUUGGUGGUCCUCUUGCAGGGGUUUAAAAAUAGGCCCCAAUAUUUGGAACUCAAUUGGCAAAGGGACUGGAGGAAUGGAGAAGUCCAAACCCACCCUCUUGGAGCCUUAUUGCAGUGUGGGGAUGAUCUUUUGAUGCCACUGAUGCUGAGCAGCAACGUUGGGGUCAGACUGUGGCCCUGUGGAAUUUCCUUGGGCUGAGUGGAUAUGGGGUAUCCCAAACACAAAGUGCAAGUAGUCCAGAGCCCAGGAGCCUCCGUGGGCUUUGGAAUUCUCCAAGGACAAGGGAGGCUGGGCCAGGAAGGAAAGAAGCAACCUGUCAACUGCCCCAGCCCCAGCAAAGGAAGCCCAGAGCGGGAUUGCUUCCAGACUAGAGGAGAAGUGUAUUGGGGCAGAGCUGACUUAGGAGACAGCCCCUUGGAAAGUCCUGGUUGGGAAUUGUUUCCCAGUGGGGGCAGCUUUGUCCGGCAUGGAAAACAAUUCUCUGGAUGCACAGAACUCCCCACCACCAGGUCAGAGAUCCUGACAGAGAUCCUUCUCCCAGUAGAAGAAAAUGAGUCUAGUGCUAAGGAUUGUCAACUCCUUGAAACCGUAGAGCAAACUUUGCUCCAGGAGGCUGGGCAGUUCCCCCAAGUGGGCAAAUAAUAGUCCCUGAGCCAAUCUCCUGUGACCUGGUGGAUGGGGAACAUGAGGGGAUUCCUUGGAGUGAAGCAAAUUAUUGAAACAUUUGCCCAAGUGGGUUCUUGGUCCAAAACUGACCCCAGUUGUACAAGCAGUGAGUCAGCAGUGUGGUGUGUGGAAGAGAAAUAAUCCAAACCCUGCCACUGGAGUGGGAACAGGUGAUGGAAAAUGCAGAAAUGCUGCAGGUGAAUGUUGGCAGAUGGAUGUGACUGAAUUGCCCAGAAAAGGGGGGUGUAAAGAUCUCCUGGUCUUGGGGGAUACCUUCUCUGGGUGGCCAGAGGCUGUUCCUUGUUGCACUAAGCAGGUUGGGAAAGAGACUGCAAUCCUGUUCAGUGCAAUCCUCCCUGUAUUUGGGAUGCCUUUGGGAAUGUCAUCAGACAGAGGUUCCCACUUGACUGCAGAAACAAAAUGCUUCACUCUUGUUUUGCUCUUCUGACAACAGUUCAAACACUGUUGACGUGGGAGGAAAAUUUACAUGUCUUUUUAGUGCCAAAGGUGAUCCAAGUGUUGCCCACAAGUGUCUGUAUUAAGUAAGCAAGACUCUGUAAGGAAUCUGGAAACUGUGUGUGUAAUGUAAAGCCCUGUGUGGCUGUCACUGAAGUGCUGAGGCUGAACAACAGCCCCUGAGCCAAAGCUGAGCUCUAGAUGAACCUUCCAACCUAAUGGGCUGUGUCUCCAUGUAUCUGCUCCUGAGCUAAAACUGGGUCUAUUUGUUGGUACAAAUGUGGUGGGAUGGGACUCCACCUGUGUAUCUGCUCCUGAACCAAACAGGUGUGCUUCUUAGGAAGAUCUGUUAGUCUGGGCUCAUCAGUGAAUCCUGUUUGUAUCUGUUCCUUAACAAAAGAUGUCUGAUUGUGAGCAAAAUCUGAUCUUUCUGUAUCUGGAGAGUGGUGGAGGCCAUGGCAGUCGAUGUCUGGCCUUGUUUGGCAGUGGCUGGUGCAGGGGGAGCCUUGGUUUGGGAGAAGUAGAACAUUGCUCCCAAGAUUCUGCUCUGGCCAAAUAAGGAACAACAGAAUCUUAGAGAAGUCCUGGAGAAUUGGAUCAGGGCUGGAACUCAAGCAAACAGGAUGUGAGCUGAGCUCUGGGGACCCAGAGAAGAUCAAACCAAACAUGACGGUCUCUGUGGGGAAAAGCAGUGAUGCUGAGAACCGAGGUCAAGAAGCAGACACCUGAGCUUUGGGGGGCACCAGAUGCCAAAAAACCCACCAGAGACCCCCAGAGAAGACCCCAAAUGACCAAGUAGGGACUUGCAAUAGGGGUGUGACUGUGUAAAGCACAGUAAUGGACAUGUGUUCAGUAAGGGGGAAUAUCCAAUGCCUCUGGAAUCAGUGUGUGUAAUCCCAAGCCCUGCCUGUGUCCCUGAGCAGGCUGGAUUAGAAGAACUCUCCUGCAGGCGUCCAGCACGCUGCCCUAAAGAAUGCCUGCUUCUUAACACCUCCCAGCUGGGGUUAAGGACUUGCUUUCUGCUGCUUUUGGGCACCAUUUCUGGCCCCAGAUGGGACCCUCUGCCUGAUCUCCCGUGGAUCCGAGGGAUCUCUGGAUCUUCACGCCGGCCCCAGGACUUUCCUGGAGAAGACCACAGAUCCCCGGACUGGUCUGGGAUGGGGGAAGAUCCCAUUGGAUAAUAAGGCAUUCUUUUGGGGAAUCCUGUCCCUCUAAGACGUGUGGAUCUUCCAGCUCUUUGGGUGGGUUAUUUGGUGUUCCCCCAUUUGGUCUCUGGCUUUGUUUUCUCCACUGAUCCUUGUUUUGUGUUUGUAUUUGUUUCUGCACUGUAACAUUUGUCCAAGUGGGUUCUUGGUCCAAAACUGACCCCAGCUGUACAAGCAGUGAGUCAGCAGUGUGGUGUGUGGUAGAGAAAUAAUCCAAACCCUGCCACUGGAGUGGGAACAGGUGAUGGAAAAUGCAGAAAUGCUGCAGGUGAAUGUUGGCAGAUGGAUGUGACUGAAUUGCCCAGAAAAGGGGGGUGUAAAGAUCUCCUGGUCUUGGGGGAUACCUUCUCUGGGUGGCCAGAGGCUGUUCCUUGUUGCACUAAGCAGGUUGGGAAAGAGACUGCAAUCCUGUUCAGUGCAAUCCUCCCUGUAUUUGGGAUGCCUUUGGGAAUGUCAUCAGACAGAGGUUCCCACUUGACUGCAGAAACAAAAUGCUUCACUCUUGUUUUGCUCUUCUGACAACAGUUCAAACACUGUUGACGUGGGAGGAAAAUUUACAUGUCUUUUUAGUGCCAAAGGUGAUCCAAGUGUUGCCCACAAGUGUCUGUAUUAAGUAAGCAAGACUCUGUAAGGAAUCUGGAAACUGUGUGUGUAAUGUAAAGCCCUGUGUGGCUGUCACUGAAGUGCUGAGGCUGAACAACAGCCCCUGAGCCAAAGCUGAGCUCUAGAUGAACCUUCCAACCUAAUGGGCUGUGUCUCCAUGUAUCUGCUCCUGAGCUAAAACUGGGUCUAUUUGUUGGUACAAAUGUGGUGGGAUGGGACUCCACCUGUGUAUCUGCUCCUGAACCAAACAGGUGUGCUUCUUAGGAAGAUCUGUUAGUCUGGGCUCAUCAGUGAAUCCUGUUUGUAUCUGUUCCUUAACAAAAGAUGUCUGAUUGUGAGCAAAAUCUGAUCUUUCUGUAUCUGGAGAGUGGUGGAGGCCAUGGCAGUCGAUGUCUGGCCUUGUUUGGCAGUGGCUGGUGCAGGGGGAGCCUUGGUUUGGGAGAAGUAGAACAUUGCUCCCAAGAUUCUGCUCUGGCCAAAUAAGGAACAACAGAAUCUUAGAGAAGUCCUGGAGAAUUGGAUCAGGGCUGGAACUCAAGCAAACAGGAUGUGAGCUGAGCUCUGGGGACCCAGAGAAGAUCAAACCAAACAUGACGGUCUCUGUGGGGAAAAGCAGUGAUGCUGAGAACCGAGGUCAAGAAGCAGACACCUGAGCUUUGGGGGGCACCAGAUGCCAAAAAACCCACCAGAGACCCCCAGAGAAGACCCCAAAUGACCAAGUAGGGACUUGCAAUAGGGGUGUGACUGUGUAAAGCACAGUAAUGGACAUGUGUUCAGUAAGGGGGAAUAUCCAAUGCCUCUGGAAUCAGUGUGUGUAAUCCCAAGCCCUGCCUGUGUCCCUGAGCAGGCUGGAUUAGAAGAACUCUCCUGCAGGCGUCCAGCACGCUGCCCUAAAGAAUGCCUGCUUCUUAACACCUCCCAGCUGGGGUUAAGGACUUGCUUUCUGCUGCUUUUGGGCACCAUUUCUGGCCCCAGAUGGGACCCUCUGCCUGAUCUCCCGUGGAUCCGAGGGAUCUCUGGAUCUUCACGCCGGCCCCAGGACUUUCCUGGAGAAGACCACAGAUCCCUGGACUGGUCUGGGAUGGGGGAAGAUCCCAUUGGAUAAUAAGGCAUUCUUUUGGGGAAUCCUGUCCCUCUAAGACGUGUGGAUCUUCCAGCUCUUUGGGUGGGUUAUUUGGUGUUCCCCCAUUUGGUCUCUGGCUUUGUUUUCUCCACUGAUCCUUGUUUUGUGUUUGUAUUUGUUUCUGCACUGUAACAUUUGUCCAAGUGGGUUCUUGGUCCAAAACUGACCCCAGCUGUACAAGCAGUGAGUCAACAGUGUGGUGUGUGGAAGAGAAAUAAUCCAAACCCUGCCACUGGAGUGGGAACAGGUGAUGGAAAAUGUAGAAAUGCUGCAGGUGAAUGUUGGCAGAUGGAUGUGACUGAAUUGCCCAGAAAAUGGGGGUGUAAAGAUCUCCUGGUCUUGGGGGAUACCUUCUCUGGGUGGCCAGAGGCUGUUCCUUGUCACACCAACUGGGCUGGGGAAGUGAGUGGAAUAUUGUUGAAUCCAAGAAUCCCUGGAUUCGAGGUACAUUUGGGAAUGUCAUCAGACAGAGGAGCUCACUUGAUUGUAGAAGUGGUACAGCAAGUCAAAUCAGGGAUGCAUUAUUGCAGAAUUCCAAAGGCCAGAGCCCCUUGGGUAAUUGAGAGGUUGUCUGAGAAGAAACCAAAUGCUUAAGUCUGCUUUGGCUCUCCUGACAAUAGUUAAUUGGGUCUUGACUUGGGAGCAAAAUUUACAUCUCCUUUCAGUCUCAAACGUGACCCAAGUGUUGCCUCCAAGGGAUUGCUGGGUGUGCACUCCUUUACCUGAAAAGACAAGGAAGCCAUUCACCAUUUCUGCCUUCCCUGUUCUGGCAGAAAUGAUUCCUGGUCACUGGGUGAGCACUUGUGUUCCCCAAAAAGUAGACCAGCAGUCAGUGUGCAAGUACCCCCCCACCACCUCUGACAAUCCUGCCUGUGUCCAAAGCUGUGACCCCCACUAAAGGAACAGGACAAGUGGAUUGUGUUAAUGAGAGUGGCCCGUUUGUGGGAAAUCACCCCCAAUGUCCUCAAACCCUUCCUGCUGGGGAAAUGACUGAUCCUUGGCCGGUCCCCAAAGGAACGGGGUGGGAUUGGUGUGUGGAAAUAACACCUGGGAAGGGUUGCCCCAAAGCUGGAAGGGCAUUUGUAUUUCAGCUUGCAUCAGGAUUCAGUGCUGUAGCUGUUCUAAUGCCUUGAGCUGUAAAAUGAAAUAAAGCUCCUAAGACACUCCAUCCCUUCAGGAGCUUAGUCUGAAAAAAGGGGGAUUUGAUGUGGGAUAUAGAAGACUGCUCCCAACAUUUCUCUAUGGCCAAGGAAGGAGAACUGUAAUCUUGGAGAGGUCCUGGAGAACUGGAUCAGGGAUGUAACUAAGCAAACAGGAUGGAAGCUGAGCUCUGUGGGCCCAGAGAAGAUCAAACCCAAACGUUCCAGUCUUUGUGGUGAAAGGUAAUGACACUGUGUCUGCUCAGAACCGAGGUCAAGAAGUGGACACCUCAACUUUGGGGGGCACCAGAUACCAAAAAACCCACCAGAGAGCCCUGAAGGAGACCCCAAAGGACCAACUAAGGACUUGCAAUAGGGGGGCUGACUGUGUAAAGCAAAGUAACAUCUAUGUCUUAAGUAAGGGAGAAUAUCUAAUGAAUCUGGAAACUGUGUGUGUCAUGUAAAGCCCUGUGUGGCUGUCACUGAAGUGCUGAGGCUGAACAACAGGCCCUGAGCCAAAGCUGAGCUCUAGAUGAACCUUCCAACCUAACAGUCUGUUUAUCCCUGUAUUUGCUCCUUAGCUAAAACUGUGUAUGUUUGUUGGUCAAAGAUGCAGUGUGGAAAGACUCCCCGUGUACCUGCCCCUGAACAAAAUAAAUGUGCUUCUUAGUGAGA